GCCUUUCCUUUGUCUCUCCGCUUACUCUUGUGUGAACCGUCGGCCACCACCUCCUCCUCCGCCGCCUCUUCUUCUGGGAAUCGUCGGCCACUAGAUGGGAAUAAAAUUCGACUCGACAAAAACACCCAACUAUAAAGUGCAGCCAGGGAUUAAUUGAUCUGACCAUCACCCCCUGUUUUAUUCUCUUAUCCUGCACGGUUCAUUGGAUGGCAUUUUUAUGACUCCAAAUGAGUAAUCAGGGUUUGUGUUAAUUUGGUUGAUCCGGCAAUUGAUGCAAAUCUGAAAAUGUACUGAUGCUAGGUUGAUCCGUUCCUGUUAUCCCUGAGAUUAUGAAAGCAUUAAAAAAUAGAGAGAUCGAUUCGGUUUUGGCUAUUCUUCAGGUUUCUACUAUCCCUAUUCAAAUGGAUUCAAACUUUAUUCAGCCUGUACACUUUGUUAGAGGAUCUAUUUCAUUCAUGGACUCAUGGUAUUACAUCAGGACUCUAAAGAUCACAGAAUAUUGCUAUAAGUACAUUGCCUGCUAACGCUGUAGUAGUAGCUCUGGGCUAUUGCUGAGCAGCUGAGGUCAAUCCCCUGAUGUUCCAAUCUAAAGCAGCGACUGCAGCAUGUACAAUUCUAUGGUUGGUUCAACUUAAUUCUUUGGAUUUCUGUUCUUCCUGACUGGAGUAUAAAGGAUGUUCUUUGUAAUAGCUCAAUCAAACAUUCGGAGAU